UACGGAGGGUGCGAGCGUUGUCCGGAAUCACUGGGCGUAAAGCGCGUGUAGGCGGCGUCGUUAGUCGGAUGUGAAAGCCCUCGGCUCAACCGAGGAAGUGCAUCCGAUACUGCGAUGCUUGAGUGUUGGAGGGGGUGGCGGAAUUCCCGGUGUAGAGGUGAAAUUCGUAGAUAUCGGGAGGAACACCUGGUGGCGAAGGCGGCUCACUGGCUCAUUACUGAGCUCAGGCGCGAUAGCGUGGGGAUCAAACAGG
rnacentral:rRNA from 1 species